AUUGAACGCUGGCGGCAGGCCUAACACAUGCAAGUCGAGCGGAUGCAGGGAGCUUGCUCCUGGAUUCAGCGGCGGACGGGUGCGUAAUGCCUAGGUAUCUGCCCGGUAGUGGGGGAUAACGUCCGCUAAUGGGCGCUUAUACCACAUCCGCCUAGAGGCAGAAGGGGGGGGCUCUUGGGACUCCACGCUUUCAGUUGAGCCUAGGUCGGAUUAGCUAGUUGGUGGGGUAAAGGCCUACCAAGGCGACGAUCCGUAACGGGUCUGAGAGGAUGAUCAGUCACACUGGGACUGAGACACGGUCCAGACUCCUACGGGAGGCAGCAGUGGGGAAUAUUGGACAAUGGGCGAAAGCCUGAUCCAGCCAUGCCGCGUGUGUGAAGAAGGUCUUCGGAUUGUAAAGCACUUUUAUUAGGGAGGAAGAGGAGUAAGUUAAUACCUAGCGGUUUUGACGGUACCAAAAGAAUAAGCACCGGCUAACUUCGUG
rnacentral:rRNA from 1 species